rnacentral:rRNA from 1 species
UACGUAGGGUGCGAGCGUUAAUCGGAAUUACUGGGCGUAAAGCGUGCGCAGGCGGUUUCUGAAGUCCGUUGUGAAAGUCAAAGGCUCAACCUUUGAAAGCCGAUGGAUACUGCGGAGCUAGAGUACGGAAGAGGCGAGUGGAAUUCCUGGUGUAGCGGUGGAAUGCGCAGAUAUCAGGAGGAACACCAAUAGCGAAGGCAGCUCGCUGGGACGUUACUGACACUGAGGCGCGAAAGCGUGGGGAGCGAACAGG